GUCUUUUUGAAUUAAUAAUUUAAAGUCUAAUCUGCCCACUGAUUAAUAAUUAAAGGGCUGCAGUAUUUUGACUGUACAAAGGUAGCAUAAUCAUUAGUCUCUUAAUUGGUGACUUGUAUGAAAGAUUUGAUGAAAUAUAAACUGUCUCUUUAUAAUUUUUAGAAUUUAAUUUUUUAGUUAAAAAGCUAAAAUAUAUUUAAAAGACGAGAAGACCCUAUAGAGUUUAAUAUUUAAUUUAUAUUAAAAAUUUUUUAUAAAAUUUAUGAUUUUGAUAAAUUUAAAUAUUUUGUUGGGGUGACAAAAAAAUUAAAAUAACUUUUUUUAUAAUUUUACAUUUAUAAAUGAAUAAAUGAUCCGUAAUUUACGAUUAUAAGAAAAAAUUACCUUAGGGAUAACAGCGUAAUUUUUUUUUUUAGUUCAAAUAAGAAAAAAAGUUUGCGACCUCGAUGUUGGAUUAAGAUAAAAUUUAAAUGCAAAAGUUUAAAAUUUUUGAUCUGUUCGAUCAUUAAAAUCUUACA
rnacentral:rRNA from 1 species